GAGCAACCUGCCCCUGACUCUGGGAUAAGCGCUGGAAACGGCGUCUAAUACUGGAUACGAACCACGAAGGCAUCUUCAGUGGUUGGAAAGAAUUUCGGUUGGGGAUGGGCUCGCGGCCUAUCAGCUUGUUGGUGAGGUAAUGGCUCACCAAGGCGUCGACGGGUAGCCGGCCUGAGAGGGUGACCGGCCACACUGGGACUGAGACACGGCCCAGACUCCUACGGGAGGCAGCAGUGGGGAAUAUUGCACAAUGGGCGCAAGCCUGAUGCAGCAACGCCGCGUGAGGGAUGACGGCCUUCGGGUUGUAAACCUCUUUUAGCAGGGAAGAAGCGAAAGUGACGGUACCUGCAGAAAAAGCGCCGGCUAACUACGUGCCAGCAGCCGCGGUAAUACGUAGGGCGCAAGCGUUAUCCGGAAUUAUUGGGCGUAAAGAGCUCGUAGGCGGUUUGUCGCGUCUGCUGUGAAAUCCGGAGGCUCAACCUCCGGCCUGCAGUGGGUACGGGCAGACUAGAGUGCGGUAGGGGAGAUUGGAAUUCCUGGU
rnacentral:rRNA from 1 species